UGCAUCGCUGGGAUGAAGCCUACAUGAUAAAGUGAUUUCAGUCUGCCUCCGCUGGCUCUGCUGCUCUGGGGGCUGUGCCAUGCAGACCAUCACAGUAGGAAGCUGUCCCCCCUCAGGAUGGCUGGAAAGCAAAGACAACAAAAGGAAGAGGCAGGCUCCCUAUGCUGUCAUCAGAGGCAAACACAGGAGACACAUAUUCCUUCCAUUAGUCUCUCCCCACUAAAGACUGCGUUGCUUCCCAGUGGCACCACAGACUGAAGACCAAGGUCUAUUUCAGAGCCAAACCUUAAGCAUACAGCACAGGUUUUGCCUACAGCUGAAGAAACCUGGCCCUACGGGGGACCCCCACAGACACAGACACAGAGGAAAGACCAGUGAACACAUGGGGACAAGACAGCUUUCUACAAGGCCAGGAGAAGAAGGUACCAAACCUCCAGGCCUGCAGGUCACCACCCUCCACCCUCAUCUCAGUCUUCCAGCCUGCAGAACAAUGAGAAAAUUGAGAUCUGUUGCAACAGAAAAUACUGUGUCUUUCAAGAAGAUAGAGAUGUGAACAUUAUUAGGAAGAAAUGGAAAAACAAGAAAUGACCCAAAUAGAGCCUUUAGGGAUAAAAUAUAAAUACUGUGGAAAAUCACUGUGAAUGGGAUUAACAGUGCCGAAGAUAUUGCAAAUGAAAAAAAUGUCGACUUAAACUUUGGUAAUCAUUCACAAAAAAGUCAGGGGCGGGGAGUGGACAAUGUGAAGAGUAUGAGUAAACGGUAGGGUGGGGCCAAGCUGCUCAACACACUGGAAUCUGCAAUUCCCCUUCACUCCUGCAAAACAGUGUAGGCUGAAGAAGGAACGGAAAUUUGAUUUAGAAAACAAUAACCACAAUUUGCUAAAGUUUAUUUUUAAAAGUCUCUAAAUUUGAGGAACCUAAACUGAGAUUCAAGAAGCUCGCCAAACCCAAGCAGAAGACGUGAAGGGAAGCACAGAAAGGCACCCACUCUAGCUUGCUUGUCUGCUGCUGUGAUAAACAUCACAGCCAAAAGCAGUUUGGGGAGGAAAGGGCUUUUUCAUCACGUACGUACGGUUCAUCAUUGAGGGAGGUCAGCACAGAAGCUCAAGGCAGGAAACUGGAGGCAAGAACUGAAGCAGAAGCCAUGGAGAAGUGCUUCAGGCUGGCUUGUGCCUUUCUUGCUCAGUUACCUUUCUUCUACAGCCCUGGCCCAGGACCGGCACCACCCCCAGGGCGAUAGGCCCUCUUACAAGUAUUCAAGAAAACAUCCCUCUUGAGAUGGCUCUCUUCUGAGCUGUUGGUCAGGGAUGGCCAAGGACUCCCCAGACAGGCUAUUGCACUUGGUUGUACCACAGAGGUGGAAGAUAAGUUCCUAUUGCUGAAGACACAUGCACUUCAGACACAAGAUCCAGAGGCCCCUAAACUGUAACUGACCUGAAUGCCUCACCCCUGAGGACGAGCUCUCAUGACCAGAAGGUGUAAUUCGAGCGUCCAAAGGAGGGAACCAAUCAACAGCCCUAGCUGGCUGUGGCACCUAAGAACCACACCUACCAGGGUACAAUAACCAUCAGCAUGUAGUAGUCACAUAAAUACCUUGGUAGUAGACAGUGCCUCUCGAACUUAAGACCCAUUCAACAAGAAGGAAAUCAUGACUGGUAUUGGAAACCUAGCCAACCACCCAAGGCUGGUAAAGUCAUGGAUCAUGGAAGGGAACCAGCAACCACCACUUUACUAACCAGUGCAAUCUCUAACCAUGUUAUAAAUAUUUGCCCUUAUACCCACAGGUAAGUAUAGUCACCCCUCAUCAAGGAAACUUCUCUUUGCAACAGAGAGCAUUACAGAAAACCACAAAUAAUAAAAACGUAAAAUUGUGGAGUCCGGGUCCAAUAGAUACAUCUACAAAACUUGAACCUAAGGUUCAGGUAUCACUGUGGAAGAAGUAAAUGGAACUACUCUUAAUAGCCAAAGAAAUAGGGAGUUUACUGUAAGAAGCACACAUGGUGUAACACUAGUGAUGUCAGAAGCAACAAGCAUAAAAUCUCACUGACUCAACUGCCUAGACAUGACUUAAACGGGAACAAUAACA